CCUACGGGAGGCAGCAGUGAGGAAUAUUGGUCAAUGGGCGCGAGCCUGAACCAGCCAAGUAGCGUGAAGGAUGACUGCCCUACGGGUUGUAAACUUCUUUUAUAAAGGAAUAAAGUGAGGCACGUGUGCCUUUUUGUAUGUACUUUAUGCAUAAGGAUCGGCUAACUCCGUGCCAGCAGCCGCGGUAAUACGGAGGAUCCGAGCGUUAUCCGGAUUUAUUGGGUUUAAGGGGAGCGUAGAUGGGUGGUUAAGUCAGGUGUGAAAGUUUGCGGCUCAACCGUAAAAUUGCAAUUGAUACUGGCAGUCUUGAGUACAGUUGAGGUAGGCGGAAUUCGUGGUGUAGCGGUGAAAUGCGUAGAUAUCACGAAGAACACCGAUUGCGAAGGCAGCUUACUAAACUGCGACUGACAUUGAUGCUCGAAAGUGUGGGGAUCAAACAGGAUUAGAUACCCUUGUAGUC
rnacentral:rRNA from 1 species